rnacentral:rRNA from 1 species
AAUGAACGCUGGCGGCAGGCCUAACACAUGCAAGUCGAACGCUCCGCAAGGGGAGUGGCGCACGGGUGAGUAACGCGUGGGAAUAUGCCCUUCGGUUCGGAAUAACACAGGGAAACUUGUGCUAAUACCGGAUACGAUCUACGGAUGAAAGAUUCAUCGCCGAAGGAGUAGCCCGCGUAGGAUUAGCUAGUUGGUGAGGUAAUGGCUCACCAAGGCGACGAUCCUUAGCUGGUCUGAGAGGAUGAUCAGCCACACUGGGACUGAGACACGGCCCAGACUCCUACGGGAGGCAGCAGUGGGGAAUAUUGGACAAUGGGCGAAAGCCUGAUCCAGCCAUGCCGCGUGAGUGAUGAAGGCCUUAGGGUUGUAAAGCUCUUUCGCCGGGGAAGAUAAUGACGGUACCCGGAAAAGAAGCCUCGGCUAACUCCGUGCCAGCCGCCGCCGUAA